UACGGAAGGUGCAAGCGUUAAUCGGAAUUACUGGGCGUAAAGCGCGCGUAGGCGGCUAGAUAAGUCGGGUGUGAAAGCCCCGGGCUCAACCUGGGAACUGCAUUCGAUACUGUUUAGCUAGAGUGUGAUAGAGGGAUGCGGAAUUCCGCAUGUAGCGGUGAAAUGCGUAGAGAUGCGGAGGAACACCAAUGGCGAAGGCAGCAUCCUGGAUUAACACUGACGCUGAGGCGCGAAAGCGUGGGGAGCAAACAGGAUUAGAUACCCGAGUA
rnacentral:rRNA from 1 species